rnacentral:rRNA from 1 species
CGGUGUUUAACUGGCGUGAUGUGGGACGUCCUACCGGUGGGCUUAGCCUCGCGAGGGGCGGCCCAACUAAUAUCCCGUCGCGGUGCUCUUUACUGAGUGUCGAGUCGGGCCGGUACGUUUACUUUGAACAAAUUAGAGUGCUUAAAGCAGGCUAUCCUCGCCUGAAUACUGCGUGCAUGGAAUAAUGGAAUAGGACCUCGGUUCUAUUUUGUUGGUUUUCGGAACCCCGAGGUAAUGAUUAAUAGGGACAGAUGGGGGCAUUCGUAUUGCGACGUUAGAGGUGAAAUUCUUGGAUCGUCGCAAGACGGACAGAAGCGAAAGCAUUUGCCAAAAAUGUUUUCAUUAAUCAAGAACGAAAGUUAGAGGUUCGAAGGCGAUCAGAUACCGCCCUAGUUCUAACCAUAAACGAUGCCAGCUAGCGAUCCGCCGAAGUUCCUCCGAUGACUCGGCGGGCAGCUUCCGGGAAACCAAAGCUUUUGGGUUCCGGGGGAAGUAUGGUUGCAAAGCUGAAACUUAAAGGAAUUGACGGAAGGGCACCACCAGGAGUGGAGCCUGCGGCUUAAUUUGACUCAACACGGGAAACCUCACCAGGCCCAGACACCGGAAGGAUUGACAGAUUGAUGGCUCUUUCUUGAUUCGGUGGGUGGUGGUGCAUGGCCGUUCUUAGUUGGUGGAGCGAUUUGUCUGGUUAAUUCCGAUAACGAACGAGACUCUAGCCUGCUAAAUAGGCGUACCUUAUGGUAUCGCGAAGGCCCCCGGCUUCGGCCGGUGGGUUUUUACUACCAACGUACAAACAAAUCUUCUUAGAGGGCACAGGCGG